AGAACGAACGCUGGCGGCAUGCCUAACACAUGCAAGUCGAACGAGACCUUCGGGUCUAGUGGCGCACGGGUGCGUAACGCGUGGGAAUCUGCCCUUCGGUUCGGAAUAACAGUUAGAAAUGACUGCUAAUACCGGAUAAUGACGUAAGUCCAAAGAUUUAUCGCCGAAGGAUGAGCCCGCGUAAGAUUAGCUAGUUGGUGAGGUAAAGGCUCACCAAGGCUACGAUCUUUAGCUGGUCUGAGAGGAUGAUCAGCCACACUGGGACUGAGACACGGCCCAGACUCCUACGGGAGCAGCAGUGGGGAAUAUUGGACAAUGGGCGAAAGCCUGAUCCAGCAAUGCCGCGUGAGUGAUGAAGGCCUUAGGUUGUAAGCUCUUUACCCGGGAUGAUAAUGACAGUACCGGAGAAUAAGCUCCGACUAACGUCCGCGCCAGCAGCCG
rnacentral:rRNA from 1 species